rnacentral:rRNA from 1 species
UACGUAGGUGGCAAGCGUUGUCCGGAAUUAUUGGGCGUAAAGCGCGCGCAGGCGGUCCUUUAAGUCUGAUGUGAAAGCCCCGGGCUCAACCUGGGAAUUGCAUUGGAAACUAGCGGGCUGGAGUGUGGCAGAGGGGGGUGGAAUUCCACGUGUAGCAGUGAAAUGCGUAGAGAUGUGGAGGAAUACCGAUGGCGAAGGCAGCCCCCUGGGCUAACACUGACGCUCAUGCACGAAAGCGUGGGGAGCAAACAGG